CAGUCGCCGCGGUAAUACGGAGGGUGCAAGCGUUAAUCGGAAUUACUGGGCGUAAAGCGCACGCAGGCGGUUUGUUAAGUCAGAUGUGAAAUCCCCGAGCUUAACUUGGGAACUGCAUUUGAAACUGGCAAGCUAGAGUCUUGUAGAGGAGGGUAGAAUUCCAGGUGUAGCGGUGAAAUGCGUAGAGAUCUGGAGGAGUACCGGUGGCGAAGGCGGCCCCCUGGACAAAGACUGACGCUCAGGUGCGAAAGCGUGGGGAGCAAACAGGAUUAGAUACCCCUGUAGUCCCUGUCUCUUAUAC
rnacentral:rRNA from 1 species